rnacentral:lncRNA from 1 species
GUUAAUGUGUUUGGGGAAAGGGAGAUUUGGCUGGAGGGCGCAGGAGGCUGGAGGUGUAUGCUAAUUGCACGUUCUGUGUUAAACCCUCCAGGUCCCUAAAGCUCCCUCCGCCCUGGCAGAACAUCACAGAGGUCUCACAGGCUGCUUUGAGGCUUUUGCACAGGCUGGAAGACAACUCUUUGGAGUUCAGGGAGAAGCACCGAGGAUUCCAUGAAGCCACAGCCAUUUCCCUGCUGCUCCUCAGGCCAGCCACAUGGUGCUCAACCAUUGCUGAAUAGAUAAACGAAUGAAUGACCGAGACACAUUCUGAUAACACUAGAGAUGAGAA